ensembl:piRNA 21ur-2991 ncRNA
UUGAUGUGACGAAAACUGACG